AUAGUAGUAACAGACAUAUAUAGAAGUAUUAUCAGUUGAUCAAGAAAGGAAAACAAGGAUUAUUUAGCAGUUUAUUCCAAUGUGGUGUGGUAUGAUAAACGUCAUGGUACCAGUCUUGUAUUACAAUGCCAGUUUCCGCAAAACAUGGAGUGAAAUGAAAUGGUACAUUUUGUCAGAAUUUUUUACUGGAGUCAUUUUUUUCUGUCUGAUUAAAAGUUUAUGCUGAAUUGAAA